rnacentral:rRNA from 1 species
GAUGAACGCUGGCGGCGUGCCUAAUACACGCAAGUCGAGCGAAUGGAUUAAGAGCUUGCUCUUAUGAAGUUAGCGGCGGACGGGUGAGUAACACGUGGGUAACCUGCCCAUAAGACUGGGAUAACUACGGGAAACCGGGGCUAAUACCGGAUAACAUUUUGAACCGCAUGGUUCGAAAUUGAAAGGCUGCUUCGGCUGUCACUUAUGGAUGGACCCGCGUGGCAUUAGCUAGUUGGUGAGGUAACGGCUCACCAAGGAAACGAUGCGUAGCCGACCUGAGAGGGUGAUCGGCCACACUGGGACUGAGACACGGCCCAGACUCCUACGGGAGGCAGCAGUAGGGAAUCUUCCGCAAUGGACGAAAGUCUGACGGAGCAACGCCGCGUGAGUGAUGAAGGCUUUCGGGUCGUAAAACUCUGUUGUUAGGGAAGAACAAGUGCUAGUUGAAUAAGCUGGCACCUUGACGGUACCUAACCAGAAAGCCACGGCUAACUACGUGCCAGCCGCCGCAGUAA